CCUCGAGCCUCCGCCCGAAGGGACUCUCCAGUCCGGCCCCGCCCCAACGGCACCAUUUAACCCCGCCCUCCCAUCUCUAGCCAGGCUCUGCUAGAAGCUGGGGAUAAAUCUAGGAACAUGGUCCCUGCCCCUAAUAGAUCUCACACUCCAGGGGAGAAGCCAGACUCUGCAGACCUGCAGUGGACUCACAGGGCUAGCAUUCAUCCACAACUCCACUCCUGACCAUACCAGAUGUGUGAAGUUUAACAAGUCCUUUUCCCCCGACCUGGAUUCAGUUUCAUCUUCAACCAGUUUCAUAAACUAGGCAGCCUUCCUCCUAUUCUGGACUGAUGUGAGGAUUUGAUGAGAUUUCAUGUUUAAGUGGUAGUGUACUGUGUGUAUUAACAUGAUUAUGUUU